rnacentral:rRNA from 1 species
AAGGCCUAACACAUGCAAGUCGAGCGGUAACAGGGGAAGCUUGCUUCUCGCUGACGAGCGGCGGACGGGUGAGUAAUGCUUAGGAAUCUGCCCAGUAGUGGGGGAUAGCCCGGGGAAACCCGGAUUAAUACCGCAUACGUCCUACGGGAGAAAGCAGGGGAUCUUCGGACCUUGCGCUAUUGGAUGAGCCUAAGUCGGAUUAGCUAGUUGGUGGGGUAACGGCCUACCAAGCCUACGAUCUAUAGCUGGUUUUAGAGGAUGAUCAGCCACACUGGGACUGAGACACGGCCCAGACUCCUACGGGAGGCAGCAGUGGGGAAUCUUGGACAAUGGGGGCAACCCUGAUCCAGCCAUGCCGCGUGAGUGAUGAAGGCCUUAGGGUCGUAAAGCUCUUUCGCCUGUGAAGAUAAUGACGGUAGCAGGUAAAGAAACCCCGGCUAACUCCGUGCCAGCAGCCGCGGUAAUACGGAGGGGGUUAGCGUUGUUCGGAAUUACUGGGCGUAAAGCGCGCGUAGGCGGAUUGGAAAGUUGGGGGUGAAAUCCCAGGGCUCAACCCUGGAACUGCCUCCAAAACUACUAGUCUAGAGUUCGAGAGAGGUGAGUGGAACUCCGAGUGUAGAGGUGAAAUUC